AUUGAACGCUGGCGGCAUGCUUUACACAUGCAAGUCGAACGGUAACAGGCCGCAAGGUGCUGACGAGUGGCGAACGGGUGAGUAAUGCAUCGGAACGUGCCCAGUCGUGGGGGAUAACGCAGCGAAAGCUGCGCUAAUACCGCAUACGAUCUAUGGAUGAAAGCGGGGGACCGCAAGGCCUCGCGCGAUUGGAGCGGCCGAUGUCAGAUUAGGUAGUUGGUGGGGUAAAGGCUCACCAAGCCAACGAUCUGUAGCUGGUCUGAGAGGACGACCAGCCACACUGGGACUGAGACACGGCCCAGACUCCUACGGGAGUCAGCAGUGGGGAAUUUUGGACAAUGGGCGCAAGCCUGAUCCAGCAAUGCCGCGUGCAGGAAGAAGGCCUUCGGGUUGUAAACUGCUUUUGUACGGAACGAAACGGUUCGGGUUAAUACCCUGGGCUAAUGACGGUACCGUAAGAAUAAGCACCGGCUAACUACGUGCCAGCCGCCGCCGUAAUAC
rnacentral:rRNA from 1 species